rnacentral:rRNA from 1 species
GCUGACGAGUGGCGGACGGGUGAGUAAUGUCUGGGAAGCUGCCUGAUGGAGGGGGAUAACUACUGGAAACGGUAGCUAAUACCGCAUAAUGUCGCAAGACCAAAGAGGGGGACCUUCGGGCCUCUUGCCAUCGGGUGUGCCCAGAUGGGAUUAGCUUGUUGGUGGGGUAACGGCUCACCAAGGCGACGAUCCCUAGCUGGUCUGAGAGGAUGACCAGCCACACUGGAACUGAGACACGGUCCAGACUCCUACGGGAGGCAGCAGUGGGGAAUAUUGCACAAUGGGCGCAAGCCUGAUGCAGCCAUGCCGCGUGUAUGAAGAAGGCCUUCGGGUUGUAAAGUACUUUCAGCGGGGAGGAAGGGAGUAAAGUUAAUACCUUUGCUCAUUGACGUUACCCGCAGAAGAAGCACCGGCUAACUCCGUGCCAGCAGCCGCGGUAAUACGGAGGGUGCAAGCGUUAAUCGGAAUUACUGGGCGUAAAGCGCACGCAGGCGGUUUGUUAAGUCAGAUGUGAAAUCCCCGGGCUCAACCUGGGAACUGCAUCUGAUACUGGCAAGCUUGAGUCUCGUAGAGGGGGGUAGAAUUCCAGGUGUAGCGGUGAAAUGCGUAGAGAUCUGGAGGAAUACCGGUGGCGAAGGCGGCCCCCUGGACGAAGACUGACGCUCAGGUGCGAAAGCGUGGGGAGCAAACAGGAUUAGAUACCCUGGUAGUCCACGCCGUAAACGAUGUCGACUUGGAGGUUGUGCCCUUGAGGCGUGGCUUCCGGAGCUAACGCGUUAAGUCGACCGCCUGGGGAGUACGGCCGCAAGGUUAAAACUCAAAUGAAUUGACGGGGGCCCGCACAAGCGGUGGAGCAUGUGGUUUAAUUCGAUGCAACGCGAAGAACCUUACCUGGUCUUGACAUCCACGGAAGUUUUCAGAGAUGAGAAUGUGCCUUCGGGAACCGUGAGACAGGUGCUGCAUGGCUGUCGUCAGCUCGUGUUGUGAAAUGUUGGGUUAAGUCCCGCAACGAGCGCAACCCUUAUCCUUUGUUGCCAGCGGUCCGGCCGGGAACUCAAAGGAGACUGCCAGUGAUAAACUGGAGGAAGGUGGGGAUGACGUCAAGUCAUCAUGGCCCUUACGACCAGGGCUACACACGUGCUACAAUGGCGCAUACAAAGAGAAGCGACCUCGCGAGAGCAAGCGGACCUCAUAAAGUGCGUCGUAGUCCGGAUUGGAGUCUGCAACUCGACUCCAUGAAGUCGGAAUCGCUAGUAAUCGUGGAUCAGAAUGCCACGGUGAAUACGUUCCCGGGCCUUGUACACACCGCCCGUCACACCAUGGGAGUGGGUUGCAAAAGAAGUAGGUAGCUUAACCUUCGGGAGGGCGCUUACCACUUUGUGAUUCAUGACUGGGGUGAAGUCGUAACAAGGUA